rnacentral:lncRNA from 1 species
AUGUGCUGAGCUUGAUAGAGAAGGUGACCUGGCAAGGAACUGAAGGACAUCUGGCAAUGUACUGAGUGAGGAACUGGGGCCCACAGUCCAGCAGUCUCCAAGGAAUCAAAUCCCACAACAGCCAUGUGAGUGAGCAUGGAAGUAGAUCUUCCCCGGUCAAGCCCCCAGAAGGACCCAGCCCUGCGGACACCUUGACCGAAACCUGUGAGAGCUCCGGAAAUAGAGGAACCAGCAUUCCCUCUGGAAUACAUCAGCACUGUUGCCUUUGAGGCUGGCCUGCUUGAAUGCACACCUGAGCUCCGGAUUCACAGCAAUUUCUUGGAUGAUUCACAGUGGAGGAAGCCAGAUGCCAUGUCAUGAGGGUGCUCAAGCAACUUUUUGGAGAUGUAUGUAUGGAGAGAAACUGAGGCCUCCUGCCAACAGCCAGCACUAACUUGGCAAGCAUGUUUGAGAGCCACCUGGGAAGUGGAGCCUUCA